rnacentral:lncRNA from 1 species
CAACAAGGCCCUGGGAAAGGUGCUUUUUUAUCUGCGUGGCCAGAUCGCUGUGCUCCUGAGUGUUAAGGACCGAUCCCAGUAUCCAAAGGCGCUGUGGAAUUUGUAAGUGGAAAACAGGAGCUUAUGUGCCAGACUGUAUGAGAUUGGUUGACUGUGUUGGAAAAGUGAUUCCCUGUUGGUCAGAAGAGGCUGGAUUUUAUGGAGUAGCUUUUGGCGCACAAGCCGUAGCUUGCGGGAUGCAGUGACUGUCACCUUGGGUAUGUUUUGUUCACUCAGUAGCUCCUGAUAAUAGAGUGCAAAAAGCAAAAUAUGUUAGUAUAAGUAACGUACACACUGAUAACAGUAGUGACUAAUGGUAAAGUGUGCAUGUGACACAGUAAAUGUGCAUAUCUGCCUAAUUAAUUGCUGUCAUGAGACAGUGUGCCUGUACCGUCACAUUUAUGAGGUUGUUUUCAUCUGUCACAAAGCGCUUUUCUAUGUCAUUCUCCAGCCUCUCAGUAGCUGCCUCCUCAGUUUCCUCAUUAUCUGUGUCUUCAGUACUCUCUUCUGGAGGGAACUCCUCCUCAAGCAAAGCCUCAAUCUCAUCCUCUAUGUUUUUAGCAUGUUCGUCUUCAUCAUCGUCGUCAUCGCUCCCCAACUACAACACAAGAUGAUGGGGGAUAGUAGGUGGUUAAUCAGUGAUGAAGCCUGGACAACAGUUAUAUAAGUGGGAUUACCUUUGCAGCCUUUGUGCCAAGUUCUGCCAUGAGUUCAGCCCUUCUCUUAGCAAUGUUCUCUUCCUGUGCAAACCAAAGAACGUUGAUUUACUUAUUCAUAGAAGCUUAGAAAAUGUUUUUUUCUACAUACAUGUAUAUCAGCUGUGGCAGAUAUUACCACAAACUUCUGUCGUGGUGAUAUUUUUUGCAGAAAUAUCAUACUAUGAAGUUUUCUCUAGAUUACCCGAGUCUUUUGACGCAGAUCUCGAAGGAGGUUCAGCUGACCUUGACGGUGGUUACAGUGCUCAUGCCAAACCUUCAGGGUGUGAUGACCUUAUCCAGUAUCUGUGGAGUCAGUGGUUCUCCAUCAGACAGGUGUGCAACAGCAGGGGUGGGUUCUUCUCUGCUACGGACAAAUAA